rnacentral:tRNA from 1 species
UGGGGUAUAGCCAAGCGGUAAGGCACCGGACUCUGACUCCGGCAUUCCCAGGUUCGAAUCCUGGUAUCCCAG